AAAGAAAUAAAGAUUAAACUAGACAUUGUUAAAAUAAAAACUUACUUAUUAGGCUCAUCAAAUGACACUGUUAAGGAAACAAGUAGCAAGUCACAGACAUAUAUCUGAUCAACAACUGAUAUUCAACAUAUAUAAAGAACUGGUAUAAUUGACAAAUAAAAAGUUAAGCAAUCUAAUUUUUUUAGAGACAGGGUCUCACCUAUGUUGCCUAGGCUGGAGUGCAGUGGCUAUUCACAGGUGCAAUCACAGUGCAAGGCAGCCUUGAACUCCUGGGCUCAAGAGAUCCUCCUGCCUCAGCCUCCCGAGUUAACAAUCUAAUUUUUAAAAUGGGCUGGCUUUCUGGGAUGAUGGUGACGAGGUCUCAGUGCCUGGAAAGGGGGUGGCAUUACCCUCAAGGAUGCUGGGAGGCUUUUUCCAGGGAGCUGACAGUAGUGACAAAGGACAUCUGAUCUUAUUUCCAUACAGUAUUAUUUUCUUUCUGUGUGUGUCUGAAAAGACAUUUAUUUCAUCUUAAUUUUGAAAGAUUUUUUGCUGGU
rnacentral:lncRNA from 1 species